UUUUGUGGUGUGACCCCAUCCGAAGUAAAAAUCAAUAAUAUUUAUAUUAUGAUAAUGAACAUGGAAUAUGGAUCAUCAAUUAAUUAAAAGAUCGCGAGUAUGGGGCGGGGAAUCCCACACGAUAGCGUCAGGUUCUUUUGCGUGAAUCCCCAAAUUCUCCAUAAAGCUGAGUUUGUUUUUAGGCAGGGAUAAAUAAAUUAGAAUCUAUUCGAGAGAAAGAGCGUUAAAAGUAUAAUAUUACUCCUAUCAGUAUUCAUCUGGUUAAGUUGCAUUUUGUGAUAAAAUCUGUUUGCGGACAUAGCUUAUUAAUUUUAUUGACACUCAUUUAUCGCACUGAUUAUACUUGUUCACCACAGGAAAUUGAAGUAUUGUUUGUGGCAAAAGAAUGCCAUGAGAUGAGAUAAAAUUAAUUGCCUUCGCCAGCGUUAUAAAUAUGUGAUGAUUUGGUUCGAGUCUCAAAAGCCUUUUGACAAUGAAAUUAGUAUAUUUAUUGUCUUUGCUCGUUAUCGUAGUAGCAUUGGCAUCGUGCUAUAGACGGAAAAAGGAAGAUUCUAUAUACUGGUCUUUACGUCCUUUAACAAGAAUUAUGAGACUAGCAAAGCCAAAUCCAGUAGAAAAACUUCAAUCAUCAGAAAUAUCUCCACCCCAGAAACCGCAAAUGAAGAUCUAUGACGCGCUACGGAAGCGUAGAGAAGCUAAGGGAGUAAGUGGAUCUUUGCCCACAAGAAAAGGAUAAAAUUUUCCAAUCACAACUUACUAAAUAUUUACACGAAAUAUUGGCACGUAAUGGAUUUUGACAAUGUUACCUUUUAUUUAUUCAAAUAAAUAGUUGUAGCAUA